rnacentral:rRNA from 1 species
UUGCCCUAGUAACGGCGAGUGAAGCGGCAACAGCUCAAAUUUGAAAUCUGGCUCUUUUAGAGUCCGAGUUGUAAUUUGCAGAGGGCGCUUUGGCUUUGGCAGCGGUCCAAGUUCCAAUUGGAACAGGACGUCACAGAGGGUGAGAAUCCCGUACGUGGUCGCUGGCUAUUGCCGUGUAAAGCCCCUUCGACGAGUCGAGUUGUUUGGGAAUGCAGCUCUAAAUGGGAGGUACAUUUCUUCUAAAGCUAAAUAUUGGCCAGAGACCGAUAGCGCACAAGUAGAGUGAUCGAAAGAUGAAAAGCACUUUGGAAAGAGAGUCAAACAGCACGUGAAAUUGUUGAAAGGGAAGCGCUUGCAGCCAGACUUGCUUACAGUUGCUCAUCCGGGUUUUUACCCGGUGCACUCUUCUGUAGGCAGGCCAGCAUCAGUUUGGGCGGUAGGAUAAAGGUCUCUGUCACGUACCUCCUUUCGGGGAGGCCUUAUAGGGGAGACGACAUACUACCAGCCUGGACUGAGGUCCGCGCAUCUGCUAGGAUGCUGGCGUAAUGGCUGUAAGCGGCCCGUCUUGAAACACGGACCAAGGAGUCUAACAUCUAGGUGCGAGUGUUUGGGUGUCAAGCCCGAGCGCGUAAUGAAAGUGAACGGAGGUGGGAACCCGCAAGGGUGCACCAUCGACCGAUCCUGAUGUACUUCGGAAGGAUUUGAGUAAGAGCAUGUGCUGUUGGGACCCGAAAGAUGGUGAACUAUGCUUGAAUAGGGUGAAGCCAGAGGAAACUCUGGUGGAGGCUCGCAGCGGUUCUGACGUGC